rnacentral:rRNA from 1 species
UGGGGAAUAUUGCACAAUGGGGGAAACCCUGAUGCAGCGACGCCGCGUGAGCGAAGAAGGUUUUCGAAUCGUAAAGCUCUGUCCUAUGAGAAGAUAAUGACGGUAUCAUAGGAGGAAGCCCCGGCUAAAUACGUGCCAGCAGCCGCGGUAAUACGUAUGGGGCGAGCGUUGUCCGGAAUUAUUGGGCGUAAAGGGUACGUAGGCGGUCUAUUAAGUCAGGUGUGAAAGCGUGAGGCUUAACCUCAUUAAGCACUUGAAACUGAUAGACUUGAGUGGAGGAGAGGAAAGUGGAAUUCCUAGUGUAGCAGUGAAAUGCGCAGAUAUUAGUAAGAAUACCGGUGGCGAAGGCGACUUUCUGGUCAUCAUCUGACGCUGCGGUACGAAAGCGUGGGUAGCAAACAGG